GUUUAAUAAUAUAUUUUUUUAAGUUUACCAGUCAAUCAUCAUGACAACACUCUUCAGCGGAGUAUUUAUAUGUAUUACCCGAGGAAUAAUUAAUUGCGUAGACUGCGGGACUGGCUAUAUUUUUAUGGCUAUUUCACAAUGAGCAAAAUGUCAAUUUAAACUUGUGCCACGUUGUAAGAUUCGGUUCCGAUUACAAGCAUAUUAUUUCAAUAACUAAUAGACUAAUUAAAACGUGUGUUCGUCCUUAAGACUGGUCAUUUACUUCGCAGUAACGAUUUAACUUGGAGAUAAUUUGAUAUAAAUGGAGUUAACCUGAACGUUUUGGAAUCAAAAUGCAAAACAAUUAAUUAUCGAAAAAGUCCUGAAACUGUAGACAUCGUAAGCGUUUACGGUUAUGAACUUGAACAACUCUGCAAAAAUC
rnacentral:lncRNA from 1 species